GCUGAAUUCAUUUCAUUUUAACUUCAGUAUCUUCAGUUUCCACAGAGAACUAGAACCUUCAGAACUUAUCAGUUUAAGAUGGAAAGUAUCCAAUACCUGCAGACGACUGCCAAGAAUACUGGACUAUAUGUCACAACUUCAGUUUUAUGUAUUCACAAUUUCCUUUUGGGAUUCUGUUUUGUCUACGCUGGCGUCACCAUGCCAUAUCAUCAGACUGGAAGUUUUGGAUAUAUUCUUAUGACAGAGGAUCAAAUAACAUGGUAUAUUAGCUUGAAUGUUUUGAUGAUACUGGUGGGAGCUCUUGUGAGUAGUCCUCUUAGUGAAUGGUUAGGAAGGAAGCGUGGAUUGAUCCUGGCUCACGUCCUGCAUAUUGGAUCUUGUAUAAUCAUGUUGUUUGGGUAUUCCUACUCAAUUCUUCUUGUCGGCUGGUUAAUCAAUGGUUUCUCAGCUGGUGUAGGAGUGAUCCUACCCUAUACUCUAGCAAGCGAAAUAUCUACUAUAAAACUAAGAGGAGUUCUUGCAAAUUUGAACAAUCUCUGUCAAAAUUAUGGAAUGUUGCUUCUGUAUGGAAUGAAUAUGAUAAUACCACCACAAUAUUUAUUAUUCCACGGUAUUACUCUUUCUCUGCUCUUCCUUCUCUGCUCUCCUUUCAUCGUUUAUUCUCCACACUGGCUUGUCAGGCACGGAAAGGUGGAUGAAGCUGAAAAAAUGUUGAGGGUACUGAGAGGACCUGACUAUGUUGGAAUAAAACAUGAGCUCAAAGAGGUUUUGGCAGUUACUGAUGAAAACUCAAAUAACAAGUCCUGCAUGAAACGUUGGACUUCACGCCAGUUUCUAAUACCCUUGGGUAUUAUAAUGACCAUGUUUGGAUCAAUUGGACUGUGUGGAAUAGAUGCACCCAUAAACUUGUAUGGACCAAGUAUGUUUGCUGAAUUUGGAUUUACUAUUCCAUUCCAGAUCCUCAUGCUUUUCAUCCCCACUGGAUCUGCAGUUGGUUAUACAGCUAGUGUUUUUAUUGCAAAAAAGCUGAAGAAGAAGAAUCAGUUUAUUUUGGCUGCUAGCAUCAUGGCCUUUUCAGCAGGCUUGAUAUCGUUGUCCUAUUACCUGAAGGAUCUUUCUCAAGCGGAGAGUUUUUACAAACUAUGUUCUCAGAUCCUAUUUUCGAUUGGAGUGUUUGGUCUGAUGUCAGGUUUAUCCAGAUAUUCUUGAUGUCAUUGGAACUCCAAUCAUGUUCAUGGGUCAUGCUCUUGCAAUCAUUCUUGCUGGGUUGUUUGUAUUCAAGUUUCUGCCAGAUACAGAUGAUAAGAGUAUAUCGGAGAUCCAAGCUCUGUUUAAGAAGAAGGAUAAAGAACUGGUUUAAUACUCAAC
rnacentral:misc_RNA from 1 species